UCCCUGGAGGACUAGUGGUUAGGCCUUGGUGCGCUUGAUGCCACGGCCCAGGUUCGAUUCCCUGUCAGGGAA